UGGGCCGUGCUGGCCUUCAAACUCGUUUGUGUUGCAUCGCUGUAGACGCGUGAGUGUGCAGUGCGUUCAGCCUCGGUGAAUGGAACAAGAUCCAUGCGGAGUCAAAUCGCAAUUGACGGUAACAACAACAGACAAUAUUAAGCAAUACGUUUACAAAAUUUAAAUACAUGCUGUCGAGUGUAGGACGUGUUCACGGACUUAAGGGUGGAUGUAGUGGCCUGGAUAGUUGUUACAACCGUCCUUAGUACUGUGGAGCCGAGUCGUGUAAUUCGAUUGUGUACAGCGAAGAAUCAGCCCAAGGCCUUCACCACUCUGCUUUAUCCACGCAGCGUCACCCAAUUUCCUGUCGAGAUGUAACGAGGUAGUGAGAUGGAUUUGUUCCAACAUUCGACUGGAUUAUAACUUAGGUGUUCCAUAACAAGACAUGGCGCGUUUGUGCAAGCUCGGGUACAGGAGAGAUUCCUGCAAGGCAGUGCCUCUCGUUUCGAGAAUUCAGUACUAUCAGCGGAAAUUUCUCCUUCGAAUCAUCAUACCGUUUUCUGGAGCUGAAAAUCGCAACUUAGUCGUUGGAAUGUAUAAAAAGAAAGCAGUUUCCGUUUUAUGAACAACGAGCGUUUUUCAUGUUAUCGGGUUCUUCUUAUCUCGAUUUCUCCAGAAUCAAAUUAUGGUGUUCUUGACCACACCUAUUCGAUAAAAGCAGCGUGCGGGUUUGGACUAACUGUACUACAGUUAGCUCGGACGACUAUUUCAGGGACCGAAGUUCGGGAGCAGAAUUAUACUCCAAGAGUUCUGGCUUCUGUGAAG